GUACCUGUAGUCUAAUGGAUAGAACGUCGGCCUCCGGAGCCGGAAAUACAGGUUCAACUCCUGUCAGGUACA
rnacentral:tRNA from 1 species